AGUGAACGCUGGCGGCGUGCCUAAUACAUGCAAGUCGAACGAAGUGGCGCACGGGUGAGUAAUAUAUAGUUAAACUCCCCUCCACAGAGGAAAAAAAGUUGGAAACACCUGCUAAAACCUCAUAGUGUAGGAUGAGACUAUAUCGUAUCAGCUAGUUGGUAAGGUAAUGGCGUACCAAGGCUAUGACGCGUAACUGGUCUAAGAGGAUGAUCAGUCAAAUUGGAAGUGCGACACGGGCCAAACUCCUACGGGAGGCAGCAGUAAGGAAUAUUGCGCAAUGGGGGAAAGCCUGAUGCAGCAACGCCGCGUGGAGGAUGACACUUUUCGGAGCGUAAACUCCUUUUAUCAUGAAAGCGGUACCUGAUGAAUAAGCGCCGGCUAACUACGUGCCAGCAGCCGCGGUAAUUC
rnacentral:rRNA from 1 species